rnacentral:rRNA from 1 species
ACUCAAAGGAAUAGACGGGGACCCGCACAAGUAGUGGAGCAUGUUGUUUAAUUCGAUGAUACGCGAGAAACCUUACCUAUCCUUGACAUGUCUGUCGCGACUUCCAGAAAUGGUUGUCUUCGGUUCGGCCGGACAGAACACAGAUGUUGCAUGGCUGUCGUCAGCUCGUGUCGUGAGAUGUUGGGUUAAGUCCCGCAACGAGCGCAACCCUCGUCGUCUGUUGCCAUCAUUUAGUUGGGAACUCAGGCGAUACUGCCCGUGACAAGCGGGAGGAAGGCGGGGAUGACGUCAAGUCAGCAUGACUCUUACGGAUAGGGCUACAAACGUGCUACAAUGGCGCUUACAAAAAGGGGCAAAGCCGCAAGGCGGAGCAAAUCUCUAAAAAGCGCCUCAGUUCAGAUUGUCCUCUGCAACUCGAGGGCAUGAAGUUGGAAUUACUAGUAAUCGUAUAUCAGCAUGAUACGGUGAAUGCGUUCUCGGGUCUUGUACACACCGCCCGU